rnacentral:rRNA from 1 species
AUGGCUCUUCUUGUUGUCAAAGACAACAUCACCGCCGGGGGGAGCCUGGCUUUAGGCCAAACUCUCCGGUUGGGAGGCUUCGUUAUGACCACCCGAACGGCUAUUGUGCCGACAAUGACUUCUCAGGUCAUUAAAAAUAGCCUCCACAUUGAUUCGGAAUUUUCCGAACAGAUGGAUCCAAUGGAGCUCUUCUCCCUCAAUGAGAUCUUGGAUCGCAUAGCCGCCCUGGGCGUCGCUACGGACUAUGACCGGAUCGGGCUUAAACCUGAUCAAAGGGAGAUUCACUCUCCAUCGGUCACCCAUGAGAUCGCGGUAGUGGAAGAGCAUCAUCCUAAUUCUCCCUCCACUUUGAGGACGAACUAUGUCCGGAUUUCUGAGCUCUCCGAGCCGGACACCCGCUCGCGGGAGGACAUGAACCCGGUCCUGGACUCAGGAUCGGGGGGCGGGCCGAAGAAGUUGGGCAAUGCCCCAGAACCCGAGCCGUCAAGCUCGGAAGCUUCUUUGCCCCUGGGUCCCAGAUCGGGUCGGGAUUCGGACUUAAAUCCGCCCACCCACCCAGAUUUAUCCAAUCUUUCCCAUAUCAGACAAGAGCCCCAAGAAACAGUACAUCACUACUGGGCCAGAUUCCUCCUUGUGAUAAACAGGGUCAAGGACUGUCGCGAGGUAGAUGCAAUCUCCCUCUUUUGCAAAAAUUGCACGGACAAAGGGAUUCUCAAUGCUAUAAGCCACCGUGACAUAGUACACUUCGCUGACUUAGCGGCCAUAGUGCAAAAGUACUGCGCGGUGGAAAGCGCCUGGAAAACCCAAACAAGUUUCUAG